AGAGUUUGAUCAUGGCUCAGAUUGAACGCUGGCGGCAGGCCUAACACAUGCAAGUCGAGCGGAAACGAGAAGUAGCUUGCUACUUCGGCGUCGAGCGGCGGACGGGUGAGUAAUGCCUAGGAAAUUGCCCUGAUGUGGGGGAUAACCAUUGGAAACGAUGGCUAAUACCGCAUAACGCCUUCGGGCCAAAGAGGGGGACCUUCGGGCCUCUCGCGUCAGGAUAUGCCUAGGUGGGAUUAGCUAGUUGGUGAGGUAAUGGCUCACCAAGGCGACGAUCCCUAGCUGGUCUGAGAGGAUGAUCAGCCACACUGGAACUGAGACACGGUCCAGACUCCUACGGGAGGCAGCAGUGGGGAAUAUUGCACAAUGGGCGCAAGCCUGAUGCAGCCAUGCCGCGUGUAUGAAGAAGGCCUUCGGGUUGUAAAGUACUUUCAGCAGUGAGGAAGGGGUGUACGUUAAUAGCGUGCAUCCUUGACGUUAGCUGCACAAUAAGCACCGGCUAACUCCGUGCCAGCCAGCCGCGGAAAUACGGAGGGUGCGAGCGUUAAUCGGAAUUACGGGGCGUAAAGCGCAUGCAGGUGGUUCGUUAAGUCAGAUGUGAGAGCCCGGGGCUCAUCCUCGGAACUGCAUUUGAAACUGGCCGGCUAGAGUACUGUGGAGGGGGGUAGAAUUACAGGUGUAGCGCUGAAUAUGCGUAGAGAUCUGAAGGAAUACCUCUGGCAAAAGGCGGCCCCCUGGACAGAUCCUGACACUCACAUGCGAACGCGAGACGAGUCUAGAUGAUUAGAUACCACUGAAGUACACGACAUUAACGAUCUCUACUUGUAGGAUAGUGACUUCAUCCGUAUUCUGUCGGAGCUGACGCGUUCAGUGAGACUGACUGGGGAGUACUGACGUCAGUAUUCAUCGCACAUGCAUUGACUGAAGUCCACACGUUCGAUGGAGGCUGAGAUUUGAAUUCGGGGCGCGCGCCAAAACUUACCUACUUCUGGAAAUCACAGAAACCCCCCGCAAACUUCGGGGUGGCCUCCGGAACUGUAAAAAAAGGCCCUGAAGGAUGCCCCUGAUGUUGGGGGUUAUCCAAUGGGGAGGUUUAAGCCCCCCCCACCCCCAACGCCCCCUCAUCCCCCAUUAGGGGCAACCCGUUAAGGGCCCUUAACCUCCCCGGGAAAACCUCCCGUGGGGGUAUAACCCCAAUGAGGGGGGGGGGGAAAACACCCCCCCCCCCCCGCCCCCCCCGCCCCCCUCCAGGGGGUGGGGGGAGGAACCACACCCCCCCCCCCCCACCCGCCGGGCAAAAAUUUUAAGGAGGAGGCGGGCCCCCCCCCCCCCCCCCCCCCUUGGGGGGGGGGGGGACAGCCCCCCCCCCCACAAGAAAUAGUUGUUUUUCUCUCUUACUUCUUCCCCGCGGGGGGGGGGGGGAGGGGCCGUGCCCUCUCCCCCCCCCACCCCCCCCCCCCCCCCCCCGCCCCCGGGCCGGCGGGGGGACAGGGAGGAGUUUUGUUUUGAUGAUAAUAAGCGGCCAUUAACUCUUCUUUUUUUUUAUAAAGCUAACCCGUCGUUGUCGCGGGGGAAAGCGGGGGGGGGGGUGUUUUCCCACCUUUUUUAAAAAAAAGGCGCUCGUAGUUCUUCCCCCCCUGUAACUCCUUUACACCCGUGCGACAGAGGAAGGAAGGGACCCCCCCGGGGCCCAAAUAUUUACCUUUUUCCCCUCGCCCGGCCCGGGGCCGUUUAUUUAUCUGCGUGGGGUUUCCCAAAGCCUUUUAAUUUGGGAAAAUAAACCUGGGGGGUAAAAAAAGUCCCCUCCCCCGGGGAGUUUUCUUUUAAUUUCCAAAAUUGAGAAAAUCCCCCCGGGUCUCCAACCCUCGGGAAAAAGCCUUUUCCCAAACUGGGCCGGGCCAAAAGGAAUCGGGAGGGGGGGGGGAAGAUUUUUCGGGGUGUAAGGUUUGACCCUCCGUUAAAAAUCUUUAUGGAAAUACCAAGUGGCGCAACGGCGGCCCCCCCGGACAAAAUACUGACAAUUAAAGUUGCGACCCCCUCUGUGGAGCGAACUGUUUAAGAUAGCGCUCGCCGUACAGGCGGUGGUUGAGGUUUAAUUAGAGGAAGAGCCCUUGAGCCGUGGCUUGGGGAGCGAAAGCGUUAUGUAGACUUUCCUCGGGAGUACGGUGCGGAGAUUAAAACUCAACCGAAGUGAAGUGGGCCCGCAUCCAAAGGUGGAGCUUCUGGAUUACUUCGAUGCAACGCGAAGAACCUGACCCACUCUUGACAUCUACAGAAGCCAGGGGAGAUGCGGGUGUGCCUUCUGGAACUGUCAGACAGAUGCUGCAUGGCUGUAGUCAGCUCAUGUUGUGAAAUGUUGGGUUAUGUCCCGCAACGAGCGCAACCCUGAUCCUUGUUUGCCAGCGAGUAAGGUCGGGAACUCCAGGGAGACGGCCGGUGAUAAACCGGAGGAAGGUGGGGACGACGUCAAGUCAUCAUGGCCCUUACGAGUAGGGCUACACACAUGCUACAAUGGCGCAUACAGAGGGCAGCCAACCAGCGAUGGUGAGCGAAUCCCAAAAACUGCGUCGUAGUCCGGAUUGGAGUCUGCAACUCGACUCCAUGAAGUCGGAAUCGCUCGUAAUCGUGAAUCAGAAUGUCACGGUGAAUACGUUCCCGGGCCUUGUACACACCGCCCGUCACACCAUGGGAGUGGGCUGCAAAAGAAGUAGGUAGUUUAACCCUUCGGGGAGGACGCUUACCACUUUGUGGUUCAUGACUGGGGUGAAGUCGUAACAAGGUAGCCCUAGGGGAACCUGGGGCUGGAUCACCU
rnacentral:rRNA from 1 species